rnacentral:rRNA from 1 species
CCCUUAGAUGUUCUGGGCCGCACGCGCGCUACACUGACGGAGGCAGCGAGCAUGUCCUUCGCCGAGAGGUGUGGGGAAUCUUGUGAGUCUCCGUCGUGCUGGGGAUAGAUGGCUGCAAUUGUCGAUCUUGAACGAGGAAUUCCUAGUAAGCGCGAGUCAUCAGCUCGCGCUGAUUACGUCCCUGCCCUUUGUACACACCGCCCGUCGCUACUACCGAUUGAAUCGUUUAGCGAGAAUUUUGGAUCGGAGCCCUGGUGGGCAGCGAUGUCCGCCUGGGAUUUACCGAGAAAUCAUUCCAGCUUGCCGAUUUAGAGGAAGUAAAAGUCGUAACA